GUGAGGAAUAUUGGGCAAUGGGGGAAACCCUGACCCAGCGACGCCGCGUGAGGGAAGAAGGUCUUCGGAUUGUAAACCUCUGUCUUCGGGGACGAUAAUGACGGUACCCGGGGAGGAAGCCACGGCUAACUACGUGCCAGCAGCCGCGGUAAAACGUAGGUGGCAAGCGUUGUCCGGAAUUACUGGGUGUAAAGGGAGCGCAGGUGGGGCUGUAAGUCGAAUGUGAAAUCUAUGGGCUCAAAUCAUAAAUUGCGUUGGAUAGUAUAGUUCUUGAGUGGAGUAGAGGCAUGCGGAAUUACCGGUGUAGCGGUGGAAUGCGUAGAUAUCGGGAGGAACACCAGUGGCGAAGGCGGCCUGCUGGGCUUUAACUGACACUGAGGCUCGAAAGCGUGGGUAGCAAACAGGAUUAGAAACCCGAGUAGUCC
rnacentral:rRNA from 1 species